rnacentral:rRNA from 1 species
UAAUACGUAGGGUGCGAGCGUUAAUCGGAAUUACUGGGCGUAAAGCGUGCGCAGGCGGUUAUAUAAGACAGAUGUGAAAUCCCCGGGCUCAACCUGGGAACUGCAUUAGUGACUGUAUAGCUGGAGUGCGGCAGAGGGGGAUGGAAUUCCGCGUGUAGCAGUGAAAUGCGUAGAUAUGCGGAGGAACACCGAUGGCGAAGGCAAUCCCCUGGGCCUGCACUGACGCUCAUGCACGAAAGCGUGGGGAGCAAACAGGAUUAGAUACCCUGGUAGUCCACGCCCUAAACGAUGUCAACUGGUUGUUGGGAAUUCACUUUCUCAGUAACGAAGCUAACGCGUGAAGUUGACCGCCUGGGGAGUACGGCCGCAAGGUUAAAACUUAAAUGAAUUGACGG